rnacentral:misc_RNA from 1 species
AACGCACAUUGCGCCCCUUGGUAUUCCGAUGGGCAUGCCUGUUCGAGCGUCAUUGUCAAAAUCUCAAGCUCAAUUUUUUUAAAGAAAAAAGAAAAAUUAAGCUUGGUGUUGGGCCUUCAUCCUUUCAAUCCCAUCACUCUUGAAAAGGAGAUGGUGGGAGUGGGGAUGUACCUGAAAAUCAGUGGCGGUGUCACGAUGACCUCAAGUGUAGUAGACUUCACUCUCGCUUUGGAUGGUCACUCUUGAAUCACUGCUUGUCAAUUGUUCAGAAAUAGUUUGACCUCGGAUCAGGUAGGGAUACCCGCUGAACUUAA